GCCCAGACUCCUACGGGAGGCAGCAGUGGGGAAUAUUGCACAAUGGGGGAAACCCUGAUGCAGCGACGCCGCGUGAGCGAUGAAGUAUUUCGGUAUGUAAAGCCCUAUCGGCAGGGAAGAAGGAGGACGGUACCUGACUAAGAAGCCCCGGCUAACUACGUGCCAGCAGCCGCGGUAAUACGUAGGGGGCAAGCGUUAUCCGGAUUUACUGGGUGUAAAGGGGGCGCAGACGGCAGCGCAAGCCAGGAGUGAAAGCCCGGGGCCCAACCCCGGGACUGCUCUUGGAACUGCGCGGCUGGAGUGCAGGAGGGGCAGGCGGAAUUCCUGGUGUAGCGGUGAAAUGCGUAGAUAUCAGGAGGAACACCGGUGGCGAAGGCGGCCUGCUGGACUGCGACUGACGUUGAGGCCCGAAAGCGUGGGGAGCAAACAGGAUUAGAUACCCCAGUA
rnacentral:rRNA from 1 species